rnacentral:tRNA from 1 species
UGGCCUGAAACUCAACUGGCGGAGGUAGGCACAGUAGCGCUGUGCUGGAUGAGCGGGUUCAAGUCCCGCCAGGCCAA